AAAAAGACAAACCCUAGAUUUCCGUGCUCAAUGUUUGACUGUUCGUCUUAUAUGAAUUUUUUUUAUAAUUAGUAUUUUUAUUGUUGUUAGAUGAUAAAACAUGAUUAAUAUUUCAUGCGUGACUUAUCUUUUUAAUUUAUUUUUAUAAUUUUUUUAAAUAAAACAGACGGUCAAAUGUUGGACAUGGAAAAUCAGGGUUUGUCUUUUU
rfam:Oryza nivara chromosome 1, whole genome shotgun sequence.